rnacentral:rRNA from 1 species
AUUGAACGCUGGCGGCAUGCCUUACACAUGCAAGUCGAACGGCAGCACGGGUGCUUGCCCCUGGUGGCGAGUGGCGAACGGGUGAGUAAUACAUCGGAACAUGUCCUGUAGUGGGGGAUAGCCCGGCGAAAGCCGGAUUAAUACCGCAUACGAUCUACGGACGAAAGCGGGGGACCUUCGGGCCUCGCGCUAUAGGGUUGGCCGAUGGCUGAUUAGCUCGUUGGUGGGGUAAAGGCCUACCAAGGCGACGAUCAGUAGCUGGUCUGAGAGGACGACCAGCCACACUGGGACUGAGACACGGCCCAGACUCCUACGGGAGGCAGCAGUGGGGAAUUUUGGACAAUGGGCGAAAGCCUGAUCCAGCAAUGCCGCGUGUGUGAAGAAGGCCUUCGGGUUGUAAAGCACUUUUGUCCGGAAAGAAAUCCUUGGCCCUAAUACGGUCGGGGGAUGACGGUACCGGAAGAAUAAGCACCGGCUAACUACGUG